rnacentral:rRNA from 1 species
UUAGGCCUUGACAGUACUAAGAACUUUCCAGAGAUGGAUUGGUGCCUUUCGGGAACUUAGAUACAGGUGCUGCAUGGCUGUCGUCAGCUCGUGUCGUGAGAUGUUGGGUUAAGUCCGCAACGAGCGCAACCCUUUUCCUUAUUUGCCAGCGGGUAAUGCCGGGAACUUUAAGGAUACUGCCAGUGACAAACUGGAGGAAGGCGGGGACGACGUCAAGUCAUCAUGGCCCUUACGGCCAGGGCUACACACGUGCUACAAUGGUCGGUACAAAGGGUUGCUACCUCGCGAGAGGAUGCUAAUCUCAAAAAGCCGAUCGUAGUCCGGAUCGCAGUCUGCAACUCGACUGCGUGAAGUCGGAAUCGCUAGUAAUCGCGGAUCAGAAUGCCGCGGUGAAUACGUUCCCGGGCCUUGUACACACCGCCCGUCACACCAUGGGAGUUUGUUGCACCAGAAGUAGGUAGUCUAACCGCAAGGAGGACGCUUACCACGGUGUGGCCGAUGACUGGGGUGAAGUCGUAACAAGGUAAGCGUAGAUGA